rnacentral:tRNA from 5 species
GGGUUCUUAGCUCAGUUGGUAGAGCAGCGGACUCUUAAUCCGUAGGUCGACAGUUCGAGCCUGUCAGAACCCACCA